rnacentral:rRNA from 1 species
GACGAACGCUGGCGGCGUGCUUAACACAUGCAAGUCGAGCGGUAAGGCCCUUUCGGGGGUACACGAGCGGCGAACGGGUGAGUAACACGUGGGUGACCUGCCCUCAGCUCUGGGAUAAGCCUGGGAAACUGGGUCUAAUACUGGAUAUGACUCCACGGUGCAUGUCGUGGGGUGGAAAGCCUUGUGCGGCUGAGGAUGGGCCCGCGGCCUAUCAGCUUGUUGGUGGGGUGANGGCCUACCAAGGCGACGACGGUAGCCGGCCUGAGAGGGCGACCGGCCACACUGGGACUGAGACAC